AUAUUUACCUGGCAGGAAAGAUAGUAUGUUCACAAAGGUUGUUCACCCAGGUUGAGGUUUGGCCAUUGCUCUCCUGUACUGACCCAUGCAAAUUCCCCAAAUGUUGGAUUCUCGACUGCAUAAUUUUUGGUAGUUGGAAGCUACAUUUCAUUUCAUCUUCCAU